rnacentral:rRNA from 1 species
AUUGAACGCUGGCGGUAUGCUUAAGACAUGCAAGUCGAACGGAAACGAUAGGAGCUUGCUCCUAGGCGUCGAGUGGCGGACGGGUGAGUAACGCGUGGGAAUCUGCCCAGUAGCGGGGGAUAAGCCAGAGAAAUUUGGUCUAAUACCGCAUACGCCCUACGGGGGAAAGGCUUCGGCCACUAUUGGAUGAGCCCGCGUUAGAUUAGCUAGUUGGUGAGGUAAAAGCUCACCAAGGCGACGAUCUAUAGCUGGUCUGAGAGGACGACCAGCCACAUUGGGACUGAGACACGGCCCAGACUCCUACGGGAGGCAGCAGUCGGGAAUAUUGGACAAUGGGGGAAACCCUGAUCCAGCAAUACCGCGUGUGUGAAGAAGGCCUGCGGGUUGUAAAGCACUUUCAGAGGGGAGGAUAAUGACGUUACCCUCAGAAGAAGCACCGGCUAACUCCG